GAUGAACGCUGGCGGCGUGCCUAAUACAUGCAAGUCGAGCGAAUGGAUUAAGAGCUUGCUCUUAUGAAGUUAGCGGCGGACGGGUGAGUAACACGUGGGUAACCUGCCCAUAAGACUGGGAUAACUCCGGGAAACCGGGGCUAAUACCGGAUAACAUUUUGAACCGCAUGGUUCGAAAUUGAAAGGCGGCUUCGGCUGUCACUUAUGGAUGGACCCGCGUCGCAUUAGCUAGUUGGUGAGGUAACGGCUCACCAAGGCAACGAUGCGUAGCCGACCUGAGAGGGUGAUCGGCCACACUGGGACUGAGACACGGCCCAGACUCCGACGGGAGGCAGCAGUAGGGAAUCUUCCGCAAUGGACGAAGGUCGGACGGAGCAACGCCGCGUGAGUGAUGAAGGCUUUCGGGUCGUAAAACUCUGUUGUUAGGGAAGAACAAGUGCUAGUUGAAUAAGCUGGCACCUUGACGGUACCUAACCAGAAAGCCACGGCUAACUACGUGCCAGCAGCCGCGGUAA
rnacentral:rRNA from 1 species